AAUAAUAUUUUAUUAUAGUAAAAUUUUUUUAAUUUAUGAUUUUUUUUACAUAUAAUUUUUAAAAUAUAAGAUUUAUAAAUUUUUAAAAAAAAUUUAAUUUAAUUAAAAAUCUCAGUAAUUAAUAUUUUUAUUUAAUUAAUGUUUGAAUAAGAAAUUUGUAUAAAAAAUUGAUUAAAUUUGUGCCAGCAAUCGCGGUUAUACAAAUAAUUUAAUUAAAAUUUUUUAUAAAUUAAGUUUAUAUUUUUAAAUAUUUUAUUUUAUAUAAUUUAUUUUAAAUUAAAAUUAAUUUUGAAAUUUUAAAAAAUUAAGUGAAAUUUUUUUUUAAUACAAUUAAAAUUAAAAUUUUUAUUAUUAAUUUAAAUAAUUUUAAUUAAAAAACUAGGAUUAGAUACCCUAUUAUUUAAACUUUAUUAUUUUUUAUUAGGUAGUAGAAGAAAUAUUUUUUUUUAUAUUCUUAAAACUUAAAUAAUUUGGCGGUAUUUUAGACUAUUUAGAGGAAUUUGUUAUGUUAAUGAUAAUCCACAUUUUACCUUACUUAAUUUUUAAAAAUAUGUAUAUCGUUGUCAUCAGAAUAUUUUAAAAGAAUAAAAUAAUUUUCUAAAUUUAAUUUUUUUUUAUAAUUAAAAUAUGUCAAAUCAAGGUGCAGUUUAUAAUUAAGAUUUAAAUGAAUUACAAUAAUUUUUAUUUUUGGAUAAUGGUUUAAAAUAUCUGUUAAAAAUUGGAUUUAAAAGUAAAUUAAUACAAUAGAAAUUAAUUGAUUUUAGCUCUAAAAUAUGCACAUAUCGCCCGUCGCUCUCGUUAUUUAAGAUGAGAUAAGUCGUAACAUAGUAGAUAUAUUGGAAAAUGUAUCUAGAAAAA
rnacentral:ncRNA from 1 species